rnacentral:rRNA from 1 species
CAGCCGUAAACUAUGCGCGUUAGGUGUACUGGUGACCACGAGUCACCGGGGUGCCGAAGGGAAACCGUGAAACGUGCCGCCUGGGAAGUACGGUCGCAAGGCUGAAGCUUAAAGGAUUGGCGGGGGAGCACCACAACGGGUGGAGCCUGCGGUUUAAUUGGACUCAACGCCGGAAAUCUCACCGGAUAGGACAGACAUAUGAUAGUCGGGCUGAAGACUCUACUUGAUGAUCUGAGAGGAGGGUGCAUGGCGUCAGUGACU